rnacentral:rRNA from 1 species
GUUUAACAAAAACACAGGUCCCUGCUAACUCGUAAGAGGAUGUAUAGGGGCUGACGCCUGACCGAUGCGAGAAGGUUAACGGUGGGGGUGCCCCGACGCAAGUCGGGAUGCUCACUGCCCGAAGCCCUCGUCAAUGUCAGCGAUAACUAUAA